AGUCCAGUGGUUAAGACUUUGCACUGCCAAUGCAGAGGGUGUGGGUUCGAUCCCUGU
rnacentral:tRNA from 1 species